AUCCCUCUGCAGUUCCUAAACAGGAUGAUUGGGUUUUCACACGCCUGUGUGGAAUGUGCCUCCCUCAAACCUCGUUGCACAGUCAGCACAUUAUCUGUCUGAUA
ensembl:snoRNA